GGAAAAGGUGUUUUUGUUGGUAACCCUCUUUCCCUUAGAUCGCCCAUCCUGAUGCCUCCCUCAAAGAAAACCAAAGCUAAAAAAAACUCAACCGAAUCACCGGCGCCGGCAGUUUCAACUUCCAACUUUCCAGCAUGUAUUCGUGCCGUUCCUCCUUCCUCCGUCGCCAUCACCAUCCAUGCCAAGCCAGGCUCCAAACAAGCCACCGUAACUGACUUGAAUGACGAUGCUGUUGGGGUCCAAAUUGACGCACCUGCUAAAGAUGGUGAAGCUAAUGCUGCACUUAUCGAUUACAUAAGCUCCGUUGUGGGGGUCAAAAAAAGACAAGUUUCUAUAGGUUCAGGGUCGAAAUCCAGGGAUAAGGUCAUCAUCGUGGAGGAUGCUACUUUACAGAGUGUUUUUGAUGGUCUAAACAAAGUUUUGAAAGAUCAAUGACAGAAACUACUGAGCCAUGGUAUGUUCAUGUGGUAUUGGACAAGGCACUACUGGAUCAAAAGAAAAGAAUUUGCUUUGACAAGGCACAACUCAAGAUAUUCUUGUUAGCAACUCUAAAACAUGCAUCACCAGACUUGUGAUUCUGAUUGUGUGUGUUUUAGGGGCCAACUAUGCAACUACUAGAGAAGUUCAAUUGCGAAUGCCAGAUUCAGCUUCUCAUUCAUACCUAUCGUUGCAUAAAAACACAUCGUGUCAUUAUGUCUUGGUUAAAAUGUUUUAUGUUUUGACGUGAACAGGUUGAUUAGUCAAUUAGUAUGUCUUAAGCUUUAUGGUGGUGAAACAAAAGAACUGCCAUUUCAACCAAAAGAUUUGUUUCUCAGAUGAAAUUGCAUGUAGAUCUAUUCUGAAGUACCUAAACUGAAAUUGCUAGAUUAUUUAAAUCUAUGAUAUGCUACAAAU
rnacentral:misc_RNA from 1 species